rnacentral:tRNA from 1 species
GGGGGCAUCGUAUAGUGGCAAUACACUUCUCUCCAAAAGAAGGUACGUGGGUUCGAUUCCUACUGCCCCCG